UUCUAAAUUAUUAAUUUCUCUCUACUUCUCUCUGGUGAAUGUCAACAGAAUGAUCAUUAUAGGAAUUCUUUGUCCUCUUCCAUGGCUUGAAUUUCCCCCACACAGAAAAAAAAAAAAAAAAAAAAUCUUCUCAGAUCAUCAUCUUCUUCUUCGCUUAGACCACCACCACCCAUAAAAAUCUUCUCUCUAAAAACUCUAUAUAACUCAAGGAUCAGGCGUGGAUCGACCCAUGAUGGUGAUAACGAACUUGCCGGCACCAAACUUUUCAAAUCUGGCGGUAGAAUCCUCCACCAUCAACUUCCUCUGCAGUUAUGGCGGUAGAAUCCACUACAACACAGCCACGCGGUCAAAUCAAAGAUGGAUUCACAACAACAAGAAAAUGCAGACCCAAUCCCCCAAUUGUAUGGGUUCCUCCUUCAUUUUCCCUGUUCAUGGAGAUGUCUAUCCUAAUGGGUUCUUCUAUGUUUCAGUGAACAUAGGAAAUCCACCCAAAACCUACCAUCUUGAUAUAGACACCGGCAGUGACCUUACAUGGGUCCAAUGUGAAGUACCAGCCAACCUGCACAAGCCCCACCACAAUCCAUACAAGCCCAAGUACAAUGUUGUAUGCUGUAAGGACCCCUUAUGUGCCUCUGUCAACCAACCACCGGAUCAUCCCUGCAGGAUCCCCGAUGAUCGAUGUCACUAUGUGGUUGAAUAUGCCGACCAUAGUUCUUCCCUUGGUGUGCUGGUUAGAGACUACUUUACCUUCAAUGAGGCUGCUAAUAGGCACAUUCUGGCCUUUGGGUGUGGAUACCAUCAAAAAAAUUCUGAUCCAUCUCUUCCUGUCGAUGGAGUUUUUGGCCUUGCUGAUGGCAAAUCAAGCCUUCUGCGGCAGCUACACAGUCUAAAUCUAACACGGAAUGUAAUUGGUCAUUGUUUCAGUAGGCGAGGGGGAGGAUUUCUUUUCUUUGGAGAUGGUCUCGUCCCCUCAGGAAUUGUUUGGACGCCAAUGGAAACCAAUCCCUUGAACCACUACUUGUCUGGACCAGUGGACCUCCUGCUUGGUGAGCAGACUCUGGUUGCUGAGAAUCUUGAUAUAGUUUUUGACAGUGGGAGCACCUACACUUAUCUAAAUUCCCAUACAUAUAUCAAUACACUUUCUAAGAUUAUGACAGAGAUAAAAACAAAGCCGUUACAGGCAGUAGAUGAUGAACUACCAGUGUGCUGGAAAGGUGUAAAACCUUUUCGAUCCAUAGAAGCAGUCAAAAACUACUUCAGUCCCUUAGCGUUAAGGUUCAGGAACAAUGUUCGUUUUGCAUUACCACCUGAAAAUUAUCUCAUCGUGACUUCUCGUGGCAAUGUGUGCAUGGGGAUUCUGAAUGCUGGCGAAAUAAAUUUGGAACAUCCCAAUAUCAUUGGAGACAUUUCUAUGUUAGACAAGGUGGUGGUUUAUGACAAUGAGAGAAGGAUGAUUGGAUGGGCUUCUUCGAAUUGUGAUAGGCGAUUUUGAACUUUUUUCUUCCAAAACUUGGGUAAUAUUAGCAGAGCAUUGUCAUGCAAUUGAAGAUUCUUGAGAAGAGACUGGAGGAAUAAGGCUGAAAGGGGCUGAUUUCAAGAUAAGAAGAAAAGAGAUAAAAAAAUAGCAAGUUUAUGAGAUUAUACGAUCACUCAUAUUCAAAUUUGACUUUCCAUCACAUCAAGUCAAAGAUCAAGCCAAAAUUGAAAAAUAUAAGACAUAUUGGAAAGCACGUCAAGUCAAAAAGAUCAAGCCAAAUUGGAAAGCAGCAAGAUUUUAGGAAGAUUUUAUUUUAUUUUAUUUUCACUUCUAUAAUUAUAAUUUUCUCUUCCCGAUCGUUCCAUUCUAAACUCUAUAAAUAGGGACAUAUGUAGAGGACGUAGGUGUGUACAUUGUUAGUGAAAUAAAAUAAUAAAAGUUAGAGAAUUUUUGUCUUCAA